rnacentral:tRNA from 1 species
GCCUAAGAGGCUCAGUUAGUAGAGCAUGGGACCCUUGAUCUCAGGGUUGUGAGUUCAAGCCCCACAUUGGGUA